GAUGAACGCUGGCGGCGUGCCUAAUACAUGCAAGUCGAGCGAACAGACGAGGAGCUUGCUCCUUUGACGUUAGCGGCGGACGGGUGAGUAACACGUAGGUAACCUACCUAUAAGACUGGGAUAACUUCGGGAAACCGGAGCUAAUACCGGAUAAUAUUUCGAACCGCAUGGUUCGAUAGUGAAAGAUGGCUUUGCUAUCACUUAUAGAUGGACCUGCGCCGUAUUAGCUAGUUGGUAAGGUAACGGCUUACCAAGGCAACGAUACGUAGCCGACCUGAGAGGGGGAUCGGCCAACUUGGAACUGGGAACCGGUCCAGACUCCAAGGGAGGGCAGCAGAGGGAAUUCUUCGGCAAGGGGCGAAAGCUUGACGAAGCAACGCGGCGGGGUGGAUGAAGGUCUUCGGAUCGAAAAACUCUGUUAUAAGGAAAGAACAAACGGGUAGGUAACGGUGAACGUCUGAACGGUACCAAUCAGAAAGCCACGGCUAACUACGUG
rnacentral:rRNA from 1 species